AUGAUUUCUAUGGUUUCCGGAAUGAAGAAACUGGUGACAUUAAUAUUGUUUAUAAACGAAAAGCUGGAGGAUAUGGUCUUAUCAUACCUAAAGGAGAUGGUAAGGCUGAGAAAUUGGAGCCAUUGGUUGUUGAACCAGCUAAAGAGCCAUCCUUGGCAGACUAGCUAAGCCUAUUGAAGGAAGUUCUUUUUGCAAAUUAGAUUAGACAUGCCAUGUCUGGCAAUGGUGUAUAUAAGGCCAAGGCAAGCGAAGAGGGCACUGUGUAGGAGUUGAGGUUGGGUUAAUACAAACUAAUUAUUAAGAUGGGUUUAACAUGUCUGUAUUGUUGAUUAAUUUUUGGAUGAGAAGCACUCUGAUAUCCCAACUUACAGG
rnacentral:misc_RNA from 1 species